UCCAGGGAGCCGGAGAAGAGCGAAGUCAGUGUUCGACUCGAUUUGUUUUUCAAUAUCCCUGAUGUUUCGUCAGUCCUGGUUUUUCCUCAUUAGGCUUGGGGGCAGGAAUGUGGCACAGCUGGAACACAAGCUUUAACUGCAUGAGGAUCUCUACACUCAACAGAACUCUGCACGGCACACAGACAGGGCUGAUGUCAGGGCAGUCCUGCUCUUCGCGACAGAGGCUGGGCUUCUCUGCAGAAGUUGGUCCAGCUUCUGGGACACCCUGACCAGCUCUCUCUCCAUUGUGUGAACCAGCCGCCGAGAUCUUCAGCCGUGCGGUGUGAAGAGGAGGGGGAGACGGGGCCGGAUCUUACCGCUGGAGGA